CCGGCCCGGCCCGGCCCGGCCCGGCCCGGCCCGAUAAUGCUGUGAGGUAUGUUUUUGACUGACCUGCAACCACACCUGCAGUGUCACUACAGAAAUUGUAAAAUUAUAUAGUUGAGAUGUUACCAAUCCCUGUUAAAAGAAGGAGAUAAACACUGGCUCUGGUUGUGGUCUGUGCUUCGAAGAAUCAGGAACUGGGAUCUCACUUUUCCUGUAUUCAAUGAUUUAACAAUAAACCUUUCAGGGAUUUUCUGACCAGCUGAAAUUUCACAUCAAAGAGAUGCUGAAGGAGACAAAGAAUACAUGUUCUGCCCAUGCCUAUGUAAAAUAGUGUUUCUUAUCCUGGUCCUGCUCUUGCUACCAGACCUUCUCAUCUCAGGUCCAGUGCCUGCACUCCUGAAGAGCACCACCUGUUGUGAUGGCACUGAGGUAUUGAAGAUUUUUAUGGUUUUGGAACUGGAAAACUGAAAGAACUACACAACUGAACAAUUGCCUACAAAGCCCAGGGCAUGCAGUCCAUUAAAGCACUAAAUAGAGUGACCACUUCUCAUGGCUUGCUUGACAGAACCAUCCAUAGGAUGAAGCUGCUCUUUAGGAAAAUUUUGCAGCAUUCUUAAGAAACAUGUAGAAAUCAAAAUAUACCGGCUAACCUGAAAUGGAAAGUAACUUUCCUGGGACAAUGAAUCCAAUGGAUGGUAAAAUCAUAAUCCAAAGCAACACAGACAUCUUCCUGAAUCUCUAGAUUAAAAUUAAAUACCUUUGUCUCCAAAUGCCUUUCUAAAUCAUCUUCUUCAUGUAACACUGAGGAUUACAUUACAUAGCAAGGAUUAUGUCAUGUUUAUGUCUCUGUCACCUCACAUGAACAUGCCAACUGAUGCAGGUGUGUGAUCAGAGUCUGGAGGCAAGAUGAAGUCUGACUGGAUAUGUCUCACAAAGAAAUUUUCUUGGAACUAAGAAGAUCAUAGAAGAAAAAUCCCUUAUUCUUUUUGGCUUAGUGUAAAAUGCGCAUAUAUGAAGUGUAACUCUGGUGAGGCUUUUCAAAAUCUCCUGUUUCAGACAGGUACUCAUGACUGUGGCAGGUAUCCUUAAACAGUGAAACUGCUAUCAGCAAAUGACCCUCUUCUCCAAGACCACAUGAAUGCCACUGUGCUGUGCUGAAAGAAGGAAGUGAGGUUAUAUUUCACUUAAGGCAGAAUGAAAGCUGGAACUAGUUUCAUAUUUUACCCCAUGUUUUCUUUUCCACUCUCAGUCAUAUCUGUAUGGCUGAUGGUUAACAGGGUGCUUUGCUUCUAUGUGAGGAAGCAUUUGUUAUUGCUUGCUCACUAUUUUCCAUAGCAACAAAAUGUCUCUGUUUAAGAUCCAGCAGAGAUGAGCAAACAGAAAAGCCUUUAAGAAGCAGUUUGUAAAGGAAGCUAAAUUAAACUUAACUCUUUCACUU